UGGGGGAAUAUUGCACAAUGGGCGCAAGCCUGAUGCAGCCAUGCCGCGUGUAUGAAGAAGGCCUUCGGGUUGUAAAGUACUUUCAGCGGGGAGGAAGGCGUUGAGGUUAAUAACCUCAGCGAUUGACGUUACCCGCAGAAGAAGCACCGGCUAACUCCGUG
rnacentral:rRNA from 1 species